rnacentral:tRNA from 1 species
GCCCGGGUGGCGGAAUGGUAGACGCGCACGACUCAAAAUCGUGUAGAGCAAUCUGUGAGAGUUCGACUCUCUCCCCGGGCA